rnacentral:rRNA from 1 species
GACGUAGGGCGCGAGCGUUGUCCGGAUUUAUUGGGCGUAAAGAGCUCGUAGGCGGCUUGUUGCGUCGGCUGUGAAAUCCCGAGGCUCAACCUCGGGCUUGCAGUGGGUACGGGCAGACUAGAGUUCGGUAGGGGAGUGUGGAAUUCCUGGUGGAGCGGUGAAAUGCGCAGAUAUCAGGAGGAACACCCGUAGCGAAGGCGGCACUCUGGGCCGGAACUGACGCUGAGGAGCGAAAGCGUGGGGAGCGAACAGG